rnacentral:rRNA from 1 species
GACGAACGCUGGCGGCGUGCCUAACACAUGCAAGUCGAGCGGGAUCCAUCUGGUGGCAACACCGGGGAAGCUCUAGCGGCGAACGGGUGAGUAACACGUGAGAAACCUGCCCCGAACUUCGGGAUAACACGGGGAAACCCGUGCUAAUACCGAAUACCCUAUACCGGUCGCAUGGCCGGAAGCGGAAAGAUUGAUCGGUUCGGGAGGGUCUCGCGGCCUAUCAGCUAGUUGGCGGGGUAACGGCCCACCAAGGCAUCGACGGGUGGCUGGUCUGAGAGGACGAUCAGCCACACUGGGACUGAGACACGGCCCAGACUCCUACGGGAGGCAGCAGUGGGGAAUCUUGCGCAAUGGGCGAAAGCCUGACGCAGCAACGCCGCGUGCGGGAUGAAGGCCUUCGGGUUGUAAACCGCUUUCAGCAGGGAAGAAAAUGACGGUACCUGCAGAAGAAGCCCCGGCCAACUACGUGCCAGCAGCCGCGGUAA